rnacentral:lncRNA from 1 species
GGUAACAUCCAACACGUAAAGAGUUAAAGAAUCAAGGCCAUCAUGAAAAUCAUCCAAGCAUCUCAAACAUGGCAAGAUAGUCAAUCAGCUCAAGAAUGAAAAGUGAUAAAGCCUCACAAGAUAUGCACUCUAUCUCUCAAGUGUCUAGGCUACUGUUUACUCUCAGAGCACCCAUGAAAACAAACACCACAUAGACUUGGAAAGACUCUAAAAUUGACAACCACAUCACAAACACAUGCACAUGAGGAUCAAAAGGUCUUUCAAGGUUGUAAUGGGGCCAAGGACAAGGUAGAUGAAAGUAUGGGAUAGUAGCUAAAACCCAAAGGAAUAGAGGAGCAAUGGGGAAUAAGUGGGAAGUAAGAAAAAGUAGUAAACCCCAAAACCAAAAUUACAAAUUAUGUUUUAAAAAG